rnacentral:lncRNA from 1 species
AAACCGGUUCAUAAGGGGGUGGUCUACCCAGCUAUAUAAGCACUUAUCAUGUUCAUGAAUUACCCGAUGUGGGACUAUUCUUAACACGCCCCCUCGAGCCAGGGCUCGUCACCACAAAGCGAGGGCUGGCGGCACCCACCGGACAGAAGCAGAAUAUGGCUCUGAUACCAUAUUAAAUUUUAUAGUGCAGCCAAGGCAUCCGAAA